UGCAGUCGAGUGCGCGUCCCGGUAGCAAUACCGGGAUGGCGCACGGCGCACGGGUGCGUAACACGUGGGUAAUCUGCCCUCUGAUGGGGAAUAACCCGCCGAAAGGCGGGCUAAUACCGCAUAACAUUCCUUGGACUCCGGUUCGAGGAUUCAAAGGCGUAAGUCGUCGGAGGUGGAGCCCGCGCACGAUUAGCUAGUUGGUGAGGUAAUGGCUCACCAAGGCUAUGAUCGUUAGCUGGUCUGAGAGGAUGGCCAGCCACACUGGAACUGAGACACGGUCCAGACUCCUACGGGAGGCAGCAGUGGGGAAUCUUGCACAAUGGGCGAAAGCCUGAUGCAGCGACGCCGCGUGGGGGAUGAAGCUUCUCGGAGUGUAAACCCCUUUCGACCGGGACGAAUGCCCGCAAGGGACUGACGGUACCGGUAUAAGAAGCCCCGGCUAACUACGUGCCAGCAGCCGCGGUAAGACGUAGGGGGCCAGCGUUGCUCGGAAUUACUGGGUGUAAAGGGUUCGUAGGCGGUGUGGCAAGUCGGGAGUGAAAUCUCUGGGCUUAACUCAGGGGCUGCUUCCGAAACUGCCGUGCUAGAGUGUGGGAGAGGCGCGUGGAAUUGCAGGUGUAGCGGUGAAAUGCGUAGAUAUCUGCAGGAACACCCGUGGCGAAAGCGGCGCGCUGGACCACUACUGACGCUGAGGAACGAAAGCUAGGGGAGCAAACAGGAUUAGAUACCCUGUAGUCCUAGCCCUAAACGAUCAGGACUUGGGGUGCCACCCGUUCGGGUGUCGUCCCGGACUAACGCGUUAAGUCCUGCACCUGGGGAGUAUGUCGCAAGACUGAAACUCAAAGGAAUUGACGGGGGCCCGCACAAGCGGGGAACAUGUGGUUCAAUUCGACGCUACCGAGGAA
rnacentral:rRNA from 1 species